rnacentral:rRNA from 1 species
AUGAUUGAUUUAAUGGCCGCGGUAUUUUGACCGUGCAAAGGUAGCAUAAUCAUUAGUCUAUUAAUUGUUGACUUGUAUGAAUGGUUGGACGAGAUAUUUACUGUCUCAAUUUGUUAUUUAUAAUUUAAAUUUUGAGUUAAAAUGCUUAAGUGUUUUUAAAGGACGAGAAGACCCUGUAGAUCUUUAUUAAUUGAUUUAUUAAUUUGUUUAGUUUAUUAUUUGUUGGUAGUUUUAUUAGUUUUGUUGGGGUGACAUAGGGAAAAAGUUAACUCUUUAUUAUUUUUUGCAUUGAUUUAUGUUUUAUUUGACCUUUUAUUAUUGUUAUAAGAUAUAGAUACCUCAGGGAUAACAGCGUAAUUCUUAUUGAGAGUUCUUAUCGACAUAGGAGAUUGCGACCUCGAUGUUGGAUUAAGAUUAUUAUUAGGUGUAGGUGCUUAAUUAUUAGGUCUGUUCGACCUUUAAAUUCUUACAUGAUCUGA